rnacentral:rRNA from 2 species
AAAUUGAAGAGUUUGAUCAUGGCUCAGAUUGAACGCUGGCGGCAGGCCUAACACAUGCAAGUCGAACGGUAGCACAGAGAGCUUGCUCUCGGGUGACGAGUGGCGGACGGGUGAGUAAUGUCUGGGAAACUGCCUGAUGGAGGGGGAUAACUACUGGAAACGGUGGCUAAUACCGCAUAACGUCGCAAGACCAAAGAGGGGGACCUUCGGGCCUCUUGCCAUCAGAUGUGCCCAGAUGGGAUUAGCUUGUUGGUGAGGUAACGGCUCACCAAGGCGACGAUCCCUAGCUGGUCUGAGAGGAUGACCAGCCACACUGGAACUGAGACACGGUCCAGACUCCUACGGGAGGCAGCAGUGGGGAAUAUUGCACAAUGGGCGCAAGCCUGAUGCAGCCAUGCCGCGUGUAUGAAGAAGGCCUUCGGGUUGUAAAGUACUUUCAGCGGGGAGGAAGGUGUUGUGGUUAAU